UUAUGCAUUUAAUGAAAUCAAGUGGCAUGUGGGUUUGCUGUAUGCGGACAUAGUUUUGGCUGUAGGUUGUUUUCACGAACCCACAGAGACAGAAACCUGCGGCAAUGGAGAAAAUGCUAAUACAGACAUCUUACUUCAGUGUCUGGCAAACGAGAUUAUACACUGAGGACGAUGUAGACGUCAGCUUCCCUGACGAGGGAAGCUGCAGCCUUCCGAUGAUUCCUGAAGCCUACAUUCUAUUAAUUUCCCCCAAGAGCCCUAUUGCCUAAUGGAACAUUGCGAGAAUGGCCAGUCUGGAAAGCAGGAUCAGUGGAGCUGGCUUCUGGCUCACUGGCUUUCAGCUGAGCCUUCCAAAUGGCUGGGAAUGAACAUCCAGUUAGAAGCCUCAGUUUGGAACAGUGGUUCUCAGACUUCAUGGUGUGUGACAGUCACUGGGGAACUUGUCCAAACACAGAUUGACAGACCCCAUCCCAAAGUUUCUGAUUCAGCGGCUCUAGGGAGGGCCCUAAGAACACGAGCUCCUCUUCCCAAGCUCCCAGGUGACGCUGAGGUUGCUGCCCCGGGAGCCCACUUUGAGAAUUGCUGAUCUAGGGUGUGCUGGGGCAACUCUGGCUGUCAGAGGGGUCAGGACACUUGGUCUCCUUCUCUUUGGUCUCACUGAGAAUGUGAAUGUGAAUGGCCUUUUGAGGCCACUUGCACUGAGUCCUCUACAGGGCACAUUGGACGGCGGGGGAGCGUCUGGAAGGGGUCUGCACACCGGCUUGCAGCCUCAGUGAUGCUCAUCUAGUGCGGGUCCUGCGUGGUCCCCAGAGGAACCCAGUGAGAAAUCCGGAGGAGACGGACAGAGAGGAGGCUGACAGUUCCUUUUGUAUUACAACGUCAUGAUUACAAAUAAUCAUAAUAGAGUGCCCAUUUUAAAGUGGCCUUUCCCUCCAAGCACACAGGAGACUCCCUCAGAUUCCCUAGGAGACCAAAGAAAUACUGAAUCUACUCCACAAAAGGUACUUGGUUGGCUGCUUCCCCAGGAACAUCCCUCCAUCCUCACGGGUGUCCCGCCAUGGACCUCGGGGAGCCCUGGACAAACAUGCAUGUGUGCGACGCUUGUAACAAACCUGCAAGGUUACCAAGGGCUUCAACGACAUUUAUUCUCCCAGCAAGCAAGUCAUGAGUGUGUCCUGCCUUAUCUAUGGUGGAAGGAAAGUACACAGAACUAGGACGCACGUGUCUAUCCCGGUCUCUGGUCUCUUGUCCAGCGAUAGCAUCCUCCGGGCUGCGUGAACUCAGCUUGGGGCUGUGAAGGGACAGCCGUAUAUCUUGUCACCGAGGGCCACCGCAAUGGGGAGCUGCACCUGACACAUUUACAUUUCACAAAGAUAUCUGCCACUCCGUGGACACGGACCAGAAAGAGGCUUGGAUGACGUAGGAUUCUGAUGAUGUAUUCUCCAUUUCAAUUCUAGACUGUGUGCAAACUUCAUUCUUUCUUCUACGUUCUUUAGUUAUGACUAUUACAGGAGAAAGGAAAAAAUCGAAGGUGAAGGAAGCAAAGACAGAAAGGAAGGACGGUUUGGUGGCCAGAGCGAGGUCUUCCCACGUCACUCCCGGGAGGUGUGCUGACGCGUUGCUCCUCCGUCCUGCAGAACGCCGUGGGUCGUGGCAGCAGCUGCAGCUGUUUCACAGGCUGUGCUCCCUGUAGACUAAGCAUCUACUCCGCGCUAUAGGGCAAUGCGAGACACAAAAGACCCGAGCCUUCCCGGGAGCUUGCCAUCCAGCUGAGGAAGCCUAACUAGCCACGCUUCCUGUAGCAUACAGUGGUCACUUUCUCCUCCAUGGAAGUAUGUCUGGGCCCACGCACCCCACUCCUUCCAGAGCCUCCACGCGCUGUGUGUCCCCCGUGGCGCUUUGCUUGCCACCGAGCCCUGCGUCUUGAGAACUCUGAACGGUUUGUUGUAGUCAAGACACUCGGAGAUCCUAGAGACGCGAAAAGCAGGAGGGGGACGUGUGACGGCCACUGCGAGGCUCCGGGAGAGUUUAAUUCAAAUUUGGAUUUUUCUCACUCUUACGCUUUGGGGCAAUACUGUUAAAUGGUAAAUAUAUAGCCAUUGUAUGAACAGCAAUACACAAAGGAGUUAUUUGGAAAUGAAAGCCUUAUUGAAGGCCCUGGAAAAAUUAAACAAAUAAAUGCUUCCUUUAGAUCGCUCAUUC
rnacentral:antisense_RNA from 1 species